rnacentral:lncRNA from 1 species
CGAGAUUGAGGUUUCUACUCAUUUUUUAUAAGGGUCAGAUAGCUUAUUCGUCAACGCUUUUCCAAAGGCAGCACGUUUUUGAUGUGACAAUAUUUCCAUUUCUUUUUACCCCCGAAAGAUCCUAAGAGCAAUUUUUUUUCCUUUUAAACAAAGGAAAUAACUGUAUACUUCCAGGAGAGGAGAUGGCAUCUCUACACCUUUCUGUUCUAAAUUUGAUGACUUCAGCACCAUCACAUAAUCAGCCUUCAUCUCUUCCCACGGACAGUGGACAUGCACUGAACUUGACAUUACACGAAGCUGAAGAAUUUUGCUCCUCGCUGUCUAGGCAAUGCGCCCAUUCCUUUAUGCUCUCUGUGAUACGGCACACAAAACACUUUUACAAGAAUAUCGGUCUUCUUAGCCUUAACAGUUCUUUCCUAGGGGGCGCCAGCGUGGCUCAGUUGGUUGGGCGUCCGACUUCAGCUCAGGUGAUGAUCUCACUGUUCACAAGUUCGAGUCCCGCGAACUCUCUGUGCUGACAGCUUGGAGCCUGGAGCCUGCUUCAGAUUCUGUGUCUCCCUCUCUCUCUGCCCCUCCCCACUCACACUCUGUCUCUCUGUGUCUUAAAAAUAAAUAAAUGUUAAAUAAAUAAAUAAA